rnacentral:rRNA from 1 species
UACGAAGGGGGGCUAGCGUUGUUCGGAAUUACUGGGCGUAAAGCGCACGUAGGCGGAUAUUUAAGUUAGGGGUGAAAUCCCAGGGCUCAACCCUGGAACUGCCUUUAAUACUGGGUAUCUCGAGUCCGAGAGAGGUGAGUGGAAUUCCGAGUGUAGAGGUGAAAAUUCGUAGAUAUUCGGAGGAACACCAGUGGCGAAGGCGGCUCACUGGCUCGGUACUGACGCUGAGGUGCGAAAGCGUGGGGAGCAAACAGG